CACCGGCGGCUCGAGUGGUGGCCACUUUUAUUGGGUCUAAAGCGUCCGUAGCCGGCUUGGCAAGUCCCCUUGGAAAUCUGGCGGCUUAACCGUCAGGCGUCCAGAGGAUACUGCCAGGCUUGGGACCGGGAGAGGUGAGAGGUACCUCAGGGGUAGGGGUGAAAUCUUGUGAUCCCUGAGGGACCACCAGUGGCGAAGGCGUCUCACUAGAACGGGUCCGACGGUCAGGGACGAAAGCUGGGGGCACGAACCGG
rnacentral:rRNA from 1 species